rnacentral:rRNA from 1 species
CCUACGGGUGGCUGCAGUGGGGAAUAUUGGGCAAUGGGCGCAAGCCUGACCCAGCAACGCCGCGUGAAUGAUGAAGGUCUUCGGGUUGUAAACUUCUUUUCUCAGGGACGAAGAAAGUGACGGUACCUGAGUAAUAAGCCACGGCUAACUACGUGCCAGCAGCCGCGGUACUACGUAGGUGGCAAGCGUUAUCGGGAUUUAAUGGGUGUAAAGGGCGUGUAGGGGGGGGCGUAAGUUAGAUGUGAAAACUCAGGGCUCAACCCCGGGCCUGCAUUUGAAACUGUGGUUCUUGAGUGCGGGAGAGGUAAUCGGAAUUCCGUGUGUAGCGGUGAAAUGCGUAGAUAUACGGAGGAACACCAGUGGCGAAGGCGGAUUGCUGGACAGUAACUGACGCUGAGGCGCGAAAGCGUGGGGAGCAAACAGGAUUAGAUACCCGGGUAGUC